rnacentral:rRNA from 1 species
AGAGUUUGAUCAUGGCUCAGAACGUACGCUGGCGGCACGCCUAACACAUGCAAGUCGAACGAAGUAGCAAUACUUAGUGGCAGACGGGUGAGUAACAUGUAGGUAUCUGCCCUUUGGCCUGGAAUAACACGAGGAAACUUGUGCUAAUACCGGAUAAGUCUUUACGGAGAAAGCUUUAUGCACCAUUGGAUGAGCCUGCACUUGAUUAGUUUGUUGGUGGGGUAAUGGCCUACCAAGACUGUGAUCAAUAGCUGAUUUGAGAGGAUGAUCAGCCACAUUGGGACUGAGACACGGCCCAAACUCCUACGGGAGGCAGCAGUGGGGAAUCUUGCACAAUGGAGGAAACUCUGAUGCAGCGAUGCCGCGUGAGUGAAGAAGGCCUUUGGGUUGUAAAGCUCUUUCGUCGGGGAAGAAAAUGACUGUACCCGAAUAAGAAGGUCCGGCUAACUUCGUGCCAGCAGCCGCGGUAAUACGAAGGGACCUAGCGUAGUUCGGAAUUACUGGGCUUAAAGAGUUCGUAGGUGGUUGAAAAAGUUAGUGGUGAAAUCCCAGAGCUUAACUCUGGAACUGCCAUUAAAACUUUUCAGCUAGAGUAUGAUAGAGGAAAGCAGAAUUUCUAGUGUAGAGGUGAAAUUCGUAGAUAUUAGAAAGAAUACCAAUUGCGAAGGCAGCUUUCUGGAUCAUUACUGACACUGAGGAACGAAAGCAUGGGUAGCGAAGAGGAUUAGAUACCCUCGUAGUCCAUGCCGUAAACGAUGUGUGUUAGACGUUGGAAAUUUAUUUUCAGUGUCGCAGGGAAACCGAUAAACACACCGCCUGGGGAGUACGACCGCAAGGUUAAAACUCAAAUGAAUUGACGGGGACCCGCACAAGUAGUGGAGCAUGUGGUUUAAUUCGAAGAUACGCGCAGAACCUUACCAACACUUGACAUGUUCGUCGCGACUCUAAGAGAUUAGAGUUUUCGGUUUGGCCGGACGAAACACAGGUGCUGCAUGGCUGUCGUCAGCUCGUGUCGUGAGAUGUUGGGUUAAGUCCCGCAACGAGCGCAACCCUCACUUUUAGUUGCCAUCAUUAAGUUGGGCACUCUGAAAGAACUGCCAGUGAUAAGCUGGAGGAAGGUGGGGAUGACGUCAAGUCCUCAUGGCCCUUACGUGUUGGGCUACACACGUGCUACAAUGGUAUCUACAACAGGAAGCAAGACUGCGAAGUUAAGCAAAUCCCUAAAAGAUACCUCAGUUCGGAUUGCACUCUGCAACUCGAGUGCAUGAAGCUGGAAUUACUAGUAAUCGUGGAUCAGCGUGCCACGGUGAAUGCGUUCCCGGGUCUUGUACACACCGCCCGUCACACCAUGGGAGUUGGUUCUACCUUAAGGCAAGGUUUUAAACCCUUGACCACGGUAUAGUCAGCGACUGGGGUGAAGUCGUAACAAGGUA